rnacentral:snoRNA from 9 species
ACGAUCUUACUCGAAUAGGAUCUGUUCUAUAGGCUCGUACCGUUGUAUCCUUUAGCAACAGAGAUAUUUUACGGUGCAUCUAAUUAAUAUAAGCCAUUCAUUCUUGGUCAUUCAAUGGACUAGAUC